UAGAUCUGUGAUUUAGAUCUACAAUGGACGUCACCUCAUUCACCAAUCGUAAACAAACACCCCUCAAGUCACGUGACAACCAUCAGCUUAAUCUAGACACCAACAUGGAAUCUAUUAGAAAACCACUCUUGCUUGUCAUUGAAGGAGAGUGUCAGUGUGCAGGGGGUUGCAAGCCUGCCUGUUGUAAACAUUUUUUUGGUCUUCUGUCUGCUCUAGCGAGCGGAAAUUUUAAAGUGUUAUGUUGUUUUGUUAGAAGAUGAAACACCAAGUCGGAGCACUGAAUCUAGAUGUUCAUCCAUGAGGCGAUUACGUCACAUGGUUUUCGCCAGUUUCAACAUUGAGAAAGUUUGUUCACAUAAAUAAGUGCUUGAAAACAUUGUGAUCAUCCUUAGCGCUUGUUUUCGAAGAUUUGGAAACGCUUCCUCAGGUAACAUGGAGUAGAAGUCAAUGGUCUGCAUCACUUGAAAUUUGUCAAGCAGGGAUGUCUGGCUUUGUAAGUCAAUCAGUUCCAGUUGUAGAUCUGUCGUGGCACUUGACACAUCGGCCAUAGUUUGGGCAUUGCUGCUUUACAUGAUUAUAUUGAGUUACUGAGUAUAAGUCAUAAGACAAUAAGUUAAGUCUGAUAGUAGUGAUAGAAUUAUUAAGAAUAUAAAUUAGAUCUAUUCUAGAUCUACUCAUCUAGAUUAGUAAUUAGUAAUAGAUCUAGAUUAGGUAGUUGCACCAAACAAUUUAAAUUGAUCCUAUACCAACAAAUGUGUAAUAGAAUGAAAGAGGAUGAAAAAUGCUUUCCAACAACACCAAAUUUAUUAUGCUAGCAUUAUUGGUUCAAAAGUUAUUGUGAUUUUAAGUUUGUCCUGACAUCC